rnacentral:rRNA from 1 species
UAGGGAAUAUUAGAAAUGGACGAAAGUCUGAUCUAGCAACACCGCGUGUGCGAAGAAGGCCUUCGGGUCGUAAAGCACUCUUUGGAAGGAAUAGGAAGGAAUGUACUUCCAGAAUAAGUCUCGGCUAACUACGUGCCAGCAGCCGCGGUAACACGUAGGAGGCGAACGUUAUCCGGAUUUACUGGGCGUAAAGCGCGUGUAGGUGGUUCUGUAAGUAGGGCGUGAAAGCUCCUGGCUCAACUGGGAGAGGCCGUUCUAAACUACAGAACUAGAGGAUGGUAGAGGGAGGUGGAAUGCCAGGUGUAGCGGUAGAAUGCGCAGAUAGCUGGAGGAACGCCAGUGGCGAAAGCGACCUCCUGGACCACUCCUGACACUCAGACGCGAAAGCUAGGGUAGCAAACG